rnacentral:rRNA from 1 species
GACAGAGGUGCCAAGCGUUAGGCGGAAUCACUGGGCUUAAAGCGUGUGUAGGCGGGUCGUUAAGUACCUUGUGAAAUCCCCCGGCUCAACCGGGGAACGGCUGGGUAUACUGGCGAUCUUGGGCCACCUAGGGGCAGUCGGAACAAGUGGUGGAGCGGUGAAAUGCGUAGAUAUCACUUGGAACGCCAAUGGUGAAAACAGACUGCUGGGGGUGUGCUGACGCUGAGACACGAAAGCCAGGGGAGCAAACGGG